AUGAGACUGAGUAAAGAACGCGUGACCUCUCCAAUGUGGGCAGGCAUCAUCCAGUCCACUGGGGCCCUGCACAAAAAGCAGAACUUCUACGGAAAUUCCACCAGGAGGCAGCAGAAGAGCGGGUUUCUCCCGUUCCCUCCGGACCCCAGAGAGACAGCGGAGCCGGGUGUCCCUCGGAGCUUUAAUCUUCCCCUCCGUCGCUUUUCCCCUCACCCGCCUCUAAUUAAGUCAGAAAGGUCCUAUAUUUAUUUGCCCAUGAACUGACACAGCAAACCAACAGCAGCCACUGUAGUGUGAAUGGAUUUGCGACCAGGCAAGGGGCUUCAGCCGGGAUUACCCGCCCCGCAGCCGGAUGAAAGUGCUGAGCACAAAGUCUGCUCAAAGCCGAGCAAACGGACUAUUUGUGAAAAUGCCAUCCUGGCUCAAGUCUGAUUAAGACCGGGGGUCCCGAGGCCGUUUGAUCUUCGCUCAUCAAAGAGAGUCUUUAAACAAGCUUCAUUUUACACUACUGUAUGCCGGCGACGGGUUGUGACACCCAAGUGCAGCCACCGUGAGCAGCUGGCCCCGGGAGCGCAUGAACAAUGGGGCUUCGCCGCGCGGCGCGGUGCGGGGCGCCAGGCCUGCGCGCUGGGAAACGCGCCGGCGCUGGAGGCGGGGACUUUGGGGAAGGACUCGGGCUUAGGAGCCCCUAGGUCUGCCCCUCAAGUAUGUUCCCUCGCGGACUCCUAGACUCCUCUGAAAAUUAUUUUAUUUUUGUAAUUUAAGGGUGAUGAAAAAUCCUUGCACGAAUUAAUUAUACAUCCCUCCUUCACUUCCCCGCCAGAAGUUAAUAGUUCUAUUUCAUAGCCUACGUCUUCCACUCUGUAGCAUUUCUUAAGCAUACGGACUCUGCGUCUCAAGACUGAAGUGUUUUCCAAGUCCUGCUUUCUACUUUUCACCUAAGGUCCUUUGCAAUUCACUAGUUUGAGAAUACCACGGUGAUAGCUGAAAAAAAUCAGCUUUAAAUAGUACAAUAAAUUUUGUGAUGGGAAAAACAACGUUUCUACACACACGCACACACCUCUCUCUCUACACACACACACACACACACACACACACACACAUCCUUUUUAGAAAGUCGCCUGGUUCAAGUAAUUCACCUCGUUUCCAGCACUUAAUACUUACCUACCAGUCCUCAAAAUCGAAUACUCAAUAUCGAUGUGAGUGAUUGUUACUUGAUCUUAGGCUGCAUAAAAGAACAGACUCCUUGCAGGAUGUUCUUAUUUAACCUGAGUACAAAAGGCCUUCCCUUGGCAGUGCUGAAAGAAAAAGAAAACAAAGAGAAAGAGAGACUUUCGUAGCGAAAAGGAACCUCUCCAUCUCCCCUACAUCCCAUUUUAUAAAGAAGAGCCAGCACCACACCACAAGUUAAAUGGCUUUCCCAUAUUUAGGAGCCAGAUAACGGCUGGCACCCACUGUACAGAGUUCCAUCCCCAGCCUCCUGACCCCUUGGCAUGACGUCUUUCUUGGCCGUAGUCUGGGAGAAAAGCUGCAAAGUACAGCAGGAGACUGGGAGCGGUGGCUCACGCCUGUAAUCCCAGCAGUUUAGGAGACCAAGGUGGGAGGAUCGCUUGUGCCCAGAGUUUAUUACCUCUUUUAAGGAGGUAAUAAUAGGAACCCAGUGACAUGGAGGAAAACUGUGUUUCUGUAAAUGUGGAGACUGUUUCAUGGGACCCUACAUCCUGCUUUCUGCAGACACGGGCCUAUCCUUAGGGUUGGAGAUGUUAAAUCCUUUAGGGGACUCAAAGGGGCUAUUGCGCUCCCCAUACCCACACACUGCAGCCCUUUCUGAGUGUGAGGACCUCAGAAAAGAUGUAGGCAGAUACCUAUCUGGUUUAGGCACCAUCUUCACUGGGUUUUAAUUAAAUGUUUCUGGGUUCCAGACUCUUAGCUUUUAAUGUCCUGCUCCAGUAAAACACAUCUUCUGAACUUGAUUAGGAAGCUACCACGGGGCCUGACUUAUCUGGGCUGGCCAUCUCCACUGCUCGAAUAAACGUAAUCACGGCCAAAUCUUGCCUUCUGUUUGUACUGAGGAGUGCAGAAAAUCCAGCUCUCAGGGGAGUUAACAUGGAACACAGGUCAAAAAGUUCUUUUAACAUUAUGAAGAACAUUAAGACCAAACUGUUUUAAAAGUCAAUGAGAAAGUCACAGCAUUUUUUACAAAACAUCAGGAAGGAGGAAUCCUGCUAUAAAUACAAGAUUGACACUAGCAAAAAUGUUAACACCCACUAUAAGGAAUGAUAUUUAGGUAGUAUUUUCCUAAGCAGAGUAAAAUUAUACAGCAACAAAUUUGCUUCUUUUGAUUUAAUCAAGAGAAAGAAGGAAAGAAGUAAGGUAGGAAAGAAGUAAGAUAGGAAAGGUAGUAAAAAAGAAAGGAGGGAAUUCAAAAUACAGCCAUAGACUGGGCACCAUGACUCAUGCCUGUAAUUCCAGCAAUUUAGGAAAACCAAGGUGGGAGGACUGCUUGUACCCAAGAGUUUAAGACCAGCUCUGCCUGGUAACAAAUUGAGACCCCGUUUCUACAAAAAAGUUAAAAAUUAGCCAGGUGCGGUGGCAUUUAACUGUAGUCCCAGCUACUGUGGGAUGGGGUAGGGGGAUGAGGGGGUGAAGUGGAAGAAUUCCUUGAGCCUGGGAGGUCAAGACUGCAGUUAGCUGUGAUUGUCCCACUGUGCUCCAGCCUGAGCAACAGAAGGAGAUCCUGUCUCAAAAAAAUAUAUAAAAUUAGAAAAUUAAGCAGUCACAAAUAACAGAAAUGGAAAAACGGUGAAUAGCAUGGUGUGUUUUGGAGUAUAUUUGUCUGUCUCCCUCAUGGAUGAAAAGGUUGAGGAAUAUUCUAUGCCUGGCAUCCAGCACUUAAAAUAUAAAGAAGACAUAUGUUAUUAUGCUGUUCCUGAGUUAUGAGGUUCAAUUCCACGCUGUUAAGCAUAUUUCACCUAUUUAAAAAUAUAAUACAAAAUAUUAAACUUGUUGCAUUAAUUAUGAUAAUAUUUAUACCAAAUCAAAUAGGAGGCAGGGUUCCCUACAGGACUAAAUAAACUCAGUUUAAUAAACUAAAUUCACCUGCCCUGGUGCCCGCCUCCUCUGUCACCCAGCUGUAAGAAAGACUCGAUCACCAGAACUCUCUCUCUCUUUCCUGACAGGUGUUGGUCACAGUUCCUGCUCCUUUUUCUUAUUUCCCCAUGACCAAGAAUGUGCCAAAAUAUAAUCAAUGUUAGAAAAAUGUUUACCUCCAUCCCCAUAUAAGUAUACUGUGUUUUCCCAACUACUCACAGACUGAAAGCUUUCUGAGGACAAGAGAUCUGCCUUUCAUAUUUUGAGAUAUGCUCCCAAUAACAGGUACUCACUGAAUAUUAACCAGCUGCUGAUGAAACAAUGAGGUUUACUGUACCUCUUUACCUACCUUGCACUCUUGUUGCCAGUGAGCAAACCACAUCCUGGAAAGGAUUUUCAAAUGGAGAAUCCACUCAAAAAGUAUAUUUCCCCAUUUGGAACAAAGGGUUGGUUUACUGUGUUCUUAGCCCUCUCUGAGGAACACCCAUAUAAUUUCUUACCUGAAUAUUUUGUGAGGUUACCUCUCUUCUGCCCACUAUAUGAUCUGAAGGCAGAUUAUAUGAGAAUUCAUCUUUUAUCACUCGAUUAUGUAUAAUACUUAGCACAAAGUACGAACUCAGAUAUUGACCAACUCAUUCUUCGUAUUAAAUUCAUGACAACUUCAGGAAUGUGAAAGAUGAAGAAGGCAGAAGCUGGCCCACUCUUGAAACUCUGUGCUUGGUUUAGCUCUCCUAACUCAAUACCACCGAUUCUGUCCAGAUUCAAUGAAUAUUGAAACAUAAUAGACCUAUGACCUAUGUUCAGAGAUCAAGGUUGAAUUUAUGCAACGGGCCUCUU
ensembl:lncRNA